ensembl:lncRNA
UGCAUUCUGUCCUGUGAUCCACUGUCCCUGGUGCAUUCUGUCCUGUGGUCCAUACUGUCCCUGGUGCAUACUUUCCCUGGUGCAUUCUGUCCCUGGUGCAUUCUGUCCUGUGGUCUAUAUUGUCCCUGGUCCAUACUGUCCCUGGUGCAUUCUGUCCUGUGGUCCAUACUGUCCCUGGUGCAUUCUGUCCUGUGGUCUAUACUGUCCCUGGUGCAUACUUUCCCUGGUGCAUUCUGUCCUGUGGUCCAUACUGUCCCUGGUGCAUUCUGUCCUGUGGUCUAUACUGUCCCUGGUGUAUACUGUCCCUGGUGCAUACUUUCCCUGGUGCAUUCUGUCCUGUGGUCCAUACUGACCCUGGUGCAUACUGUCCCUGGUGCAUUCUGUCCUGUGGUCCAUACUGUCCCCUGGUUGCAUUCUGUCCCUGGUGCAUUCUGUCCCUGGUGCAUACUGUCCCUGGUGCAUUCUGUCCUGUGGUCCAUACUGGCCCUGGUGCAUACUGGCCCUGGUCCAUACUGUCCGUGGUGCAUACUGUCCCUGGUGCAUUCUGUCUUGUGGUCCAUACUGUCCCUGGUGCAUACUGUCCCUGGUGUAUACUGGCCCUGGUGCAUUCUGUCCUGUGGUCCAUACUGUCCCUGGUGCAUUCUGUCCUGUGGUCUAUACUGUCCCUGGUGCAUACUUUCCCUGGUGCAUUCUGUCCUGUGGUCCAUACUGACCCUGGUGCAUACCGGCCCUGGUGCAUACUGUCCCCUGGUUGCAUUCUGUCCUGUGGUCCAUACUGUCCUGGUGCAUACUGUCCUGGUGCAUUCUGUCCUGUGGUCCAUACUGUCCCUGGUGCCUUCUGUCCUGUGGUCCAUUACUGUCCCUGGUGCCUUCUGUCCUGUGGUCCAUACUGUCCCUGGUGCAUACUGUCCCUGGUGCAUUCUGUCCGUGGUCCAUACUGUCCCUGGUGCAUUCUGUCUUGUGGUCCAUACUGUCCCUGGUGCAUACUGUCCCUGGUGUAUACUGGCCCUGGUGCAUUCUGUCCUGUGGUCCAUACUGUCCCUGGUGCAUUCUGUCGUGUGGUCCAUACCGGCCCUGGUGCAUACCGGCCCUGGUACAAACUGCACCUGUCAUCCUUUUCCAGGGCCCAUGGCAGCACAUAAGCUCCCUACACCGCCGCCUUGGUAGAGGGACCCAGGAUCGGUGCUACCUCUUCCACACGAGGACGGUGUGUGCUCAUGGGCAGUGAAGCUUCCGAGGCCACCGGCUCUCUGCGGCCGCUUCUCCUCCAGGUGGGGGAGCUGGGCUCAGUCCCAACACUACCCCAGCGGCUUCCAAGUCUCCCCUGCCUCAGCCCCGCCAUAACCCGUCCUCCCUGGCUGUCUUCACCUUUGAGCGACAGAAAGAACCUUCUCCAUUCAUUCUACAAGUUUUUGAGAGUGCUCUGUGCCCCGAGCCCUCUCUACGGUGGGGCCACAGCAGCGAACCAGCCAGACCACACCCCCUGGCCUCUCGGACUUUACCAGACUAAACCACGCUACAGUGGUUACGUGUUUCCGGUAAAUCUUGAUCAGAGAGUGUGAGUUCUCCGACCCUGUCCUUUUUUGAAAGCGUAUUGAUGACUCCAAUUCCCUGGUAUUUCCCCACUAAUUUCAGAAUUAGAGUUAGCUUAUCAAUUCCUUUGGUUUGUUUUUAAAUAUUUUUUUUUUAGGUUUUUCUAAUUUAUUUUGAGAGAGAGAUAGAGAGCAAGCAGGGGAGGGGCCGAGAGAGAGGGAGAGGAGGGAGGUGCUCCUGUGCUGAGAUUUGUAAUGGGAUUGUGUCACAUCAUUAGAUCAAUUUGAAGGGAAUCAGCACAUUAGAAAUACAAAUCUUCCAAUGCAUAAACAGUCUUCUUUAUUUAAAUCUUUAAUUUCUCUCAGCGAUAAAGAAAUCAGAGGGGCACCCAGAUGGCUCAGUCACUUAUGCAUCUGACUCUUGAUUUCAGCUCAGGACAUGAUCUCAUGGCUCGUGGGAUGGAACCUUGCAUAGGGCUCUGCGCUGACAGCGUGGGGCCUGCUGAGGAUCCUCUCUCUCCCCCCUCUCUUGGCCCCUCCCCUGCUCACAGGCACACUCCCUCCCUUCCUCUCAAAAUAAAUAAAUAAACUUAAAAAAAAUCA